GUUUGUUAUGCUUGGGUUGCUUCGUUCGAAAGACGGCGGCAGGUAAGCUAUCCAAUUUGUUGAUUAAUAUUUUUACCGUCACGGGCUCGCAAGGCCCGCAGCUAACUCAAUUUUCUUUCAAGGACCGUCGUGACGUUGCUCUUUUGAUUCCCGAACAUCACCAAGACGUUGUUGCACGCCGCCCCUGACAUGGAGAAAAGACGCGUGUGGAGCCCCCAAUCACAGUUUGUAUGCGACCAAAACAUCUACCGGGAUUGGGUAUCCGAUCUACUCGCACCCCAGCCGGCACAACGGGGAGGUUGAGAAGAGGUGAUAUGAACACUACCCGAAGGUUGGGUGUAUGGUGUUCAGAGUGACCUAUCAUUCGCCUGCAGCCAGCCAGGCCGUCGCAGGAAAACUGGAAAACUGCUUUCUGAUCUAUUCUGUCUGACAUAGCAUUCGGAACGGACAAAAAUUUGUACGAUAGAAUAAUUUGCUGCAGCUUUGGAAAAACAGUUUCAAAUGUCUGGAAUGUUGUUGGUCCAAAAGAUUCGAUUCACGUGGUUUAUUUCCGACUAAAAUGAAGCUAGUCAUCCACCGUGCCGAAUAAGGAAAAAGCAUUAUAUUUGCCGAUGUUGCUCAUCCGGAUCAAACGAGCUCUUAAAUGCUAUGGCCGUUUCGUUCUUGCUUUGAUGAAGUAGUAUGAAAAAUAAUGGAUCAUUAAAAAAUUGAAGGGAAUUAGGUAGGUUUUUUUUUUUUUAAUUCUAUUCAAAUUCUAGUAAAGGCGAAUAAUACAUUUCUGUUAUCUAACAUCAUUCGUAUAGGAACACGGAGACUCUGGCGAUAGGAUGUUCGUUUGAAGCCGCCCGGUUGAAGCUAAGAUUUAUCUACUGCAACAAAAUUUAAAUUUCUGCAAGCAGUAGUGCAUCGGCAGCAAAAAGAAUGAGUCGAAAUAAUUGUAAAAAGAAAUUGAAUCAGGAUAAGGAACCGAAAAAUAGAAUGGGUUCCUCGAGUCAUGUAGUGAAUUUGACUCUGACUUGGUAAGCGAUUUCGUUGCAUAGUUUUAACCAAGAAAAACCCUCACAGACAAUUUAAACUCACGGCCCGAUUUAAAACGGAUUAUCGUAGCUACCGAAACGUGAAGUGGUGAUGCACUUUCCGGAGAUGACAUAUGACAAUUGAUGCAUCCAUGGUUGACUUGGCGGUUCUAAGUUGAGAGUAAUUCUCGAAGGCUCCAUCGAAAGCCAUUCGUUUUUUUACAUAAGAUAAAGAAUUAACUUUUUAAUACUAAGCGUUUAAAACCUCAAGUUCCAUUGAAUUUGACCCAUCGACGAGGUUAGAUGAAUAACGAGUGCGAUAGUACUGACUGAAUCAAAUUCGAUUUUUCGAUUCGAAUCGAUAUUUAACAGUGGUGGAAGUCGUCUGUUUCCUAAUUUACAUAAAUGUAGGUUCAAAGCUAGCCUUAUUUAGAAUAAUUGAAAUUUUUUUAAGGUUUAUUUAUGACACUUUACCACCUUGUGGCAUUCGUGUCUAAGAAUAAUUGAAUGAUUUUUGUAUUUUGUAUGAUAUGAAAUAGCAAGGCAAUGCACUUUAACAGUAGAGUUAAGUUUGAAAAAAAAUUCCUGUGAAAUGAUAAAUACAACCUAACACACCAAUACCUAACGUGUGUAUGAAGUCGAUGAAUGGUUAACAAUAGUUAUCUUUACACAAAAGCGC